ACUCCCAACCCAUGUGAACUUACCAUUGUUGCCUCGGCAGAAGCUGCUCGGUGCACCCUACCUUGGAACGGCCUACCCUGUAACGCCUUACCCUGGAACGGCUUACCCUGUAGCGGCUGCCGGUGGACUACCAAACUCUUGUUAUUUUAUUGUAAUCUGAGCGUCUUAUUUUAAUAAGUCAAAACUUUCAACAACGGAUCUCUUGGUUCUGGAAUCGAGGAAGAACGGAGCGAAAUGCGAUAAGAAAUGUGAAUUGCAUAAUUCAUUGAAUCAUCGAAUCUUUGAACGCUCAUUGCGCCCAUUAUGAUUCUACCGGGAAUGCCUGUUCGAACGUCAUUUACACCCUUAAGCCUAACUUAGUGAUGGGAGCCUACUGCUUUUACUAGCUGUACCUCCUGAAAUACAACGGGGGAUCUGCGAUAUCCUCUGAGGGGAUAAAUUUUUAUCUCGCUUUUGACUGGAGGUGCCGAGCCUUUACCCGCUAAAUCCCCCAGUUUUUAAUGCAUGACCUCGGAUCAUGUAAGAAUACCCGCUGAACUUAAGCAUA
rnacentral:rRNA from 1 species